CCCUCUUGAGCUCUUGUGGUGACCUGGGAAUCAAUGUGUGAGGUGGUGCUAUGUAGCAGGAACCCCUCUUGCUUUGCAAAUAGUUUUUUGUUUGUUUUCCUUUUUGCCCAAUAGAGCCCUGCUCUACUGACCCUUCAAUGUGCCCGUGUGCCUAAAUAUUCCUGGUCGUGUGAAAAGAACCCAGGUAUUAGCUGAACUAAGGAGCACAAUUCUGCAACAUUUUGGCACCCAAACACGGGGCUUGAGAAAUGGUGUCAUUUGCAUCAGUGCAAUAAGAAUCCUUUUUCUUUUGCAACAGAAUGCAAUUGGAGAAACUGGUUGUUUUACCAGGCGUUGAUUGGAAAUGUGUGCUUCCCUUUAAGCAGUCAAGCUCAACUUGCAGAACUGAUGGGAACCCCUUGGGAAAACUGGCCUCAAAUGUUUGUCUACACAGUCCACAUACAGGGUUCUUAACCUGCGGUACUGACCCUGCUUGUGCCUGUGAACCAACCAACAAUCUCUGGCUGCAGCUCAGAAAGGACAAAAGAGAAUGGGUAAUGUAAAAACCUGGAUCAGUAUUUUAGUUCUGAACAAUUAUCCUGCAAAUCCUGCCAGCUGAUGGGAAUAAAUAGGAUGCCCAUGAUCCGGAGGUUUACUUUUUGGGAAAGUAAAACCAAGGGAGCUAACCAAAGUAAAACCCCAUACACCCAAAUCUGAGCAAGCAUAACUAUAGCCACCAGUUAUCUGGGUGUGUCACAAGACACUCUUUUCUUUCCUUUGUUGGAGGAGAACUCAUUUCCACAGCUUCACUUUAGCAUUAUGGCUUAUGUUAAGGAGUCUAUGCAACUUCCAUGCUGAGACACGUUUUUGGUCCCAAAGUUAAUUCCAAGCUUUGUGUCAAAGGCCUAAGAAAACUGGAUCUUAGGGAUCCAGAAGCCAGACAAUAAUGAAAGUCAAAAGGCACAGCACAGGUGAGCAUGACUAAUUCCCGCUGAUUAAGCCAAGCUUCCUGUUUCAUGGAUAAAGGUCAUGCUAGUAUCCAUGGCAUAAAUGAGGUCUAGAGAACUAAAAGGCUACUGCCAGCAGGGGAGAUAGGGAGGACAUAAGACAGGGCAGCUAUUCCCAUCCCCUAGACCCCCUGUUAACAUGGAUGAAAGCCACUUUGACACCCAUGGGUGGCACCCUGUCACAGUUGGUGGGACUCAGCAAUACAGGGACAGAGGAAAGAAAGAGGAACAACUCACUUUCUCUCCCUCACACACCCUGAGUAUUUGCUAGAAAAAGAAAGGAACCAGGCACACAUGCUCCCCUAUUUCUAGAUGAGUAGCCAUUCAUCUUUAGUCUGCACCCUUUUAGAACAUGUCCUGAACCCCUGGGACUCUUCUGAAAAAAAUGCCUUCUUUUUUCCUUUUUCUUCCUCUGUCCUCUAUUCACUGGUAGGUAGGUAAUGGUGUCCCAUACCACAGAACACUUCCCUCAGAUGCAUCCUUCUAACUGGGAGGAGUUAAUUUCUCAAACCGUAGACUAAUUGGCUUAGGAUUAGGUUCAGGGGAAGGGAACACAGAAACAUGACAUGCCAGCAAAAGGGUAAAAGGUUUUUUUUCCCCGUUGGGCUUUUGGCCUCUCUCUCCCUGUGCAAACUGGUAAAAGGCGUCUGGAUUUUCUAGUUGUCCUUACCCACUGCUUGUUUCGUUUUGAUACAUAUUUUCUAAUAACCUGUUUGUCUCUUCUCACUUUUAGGCCAUCAAACUCCAGUCUGCACCUGGAGCCUUGGAUGAUGGCCUUUUUUACUGGGAACCCUGAAAUAGGCCUCUGAGGGAAAUCUGAUUGCCAUUUUCCCAAAACAGCUUCCCUGACAAUAGGAAGCAAUUAAGAUUGGUCUUCAUCCUUAUCUUUAUCCUUAUUCUAAUGGCAGUUAGAGGUACUUCUUUAGAGGGGGGAAUGAGACAGCCAAAUGCCUAGGCAGAUAAAAAGGUGUACCUGGAAAAUUUCCAACCCGUCACACAAGUGUUUACAUCAGAUGCUUUUGUGUAGAUGAGGGAAACUUCCCAGGGCUUGUCUGGGUAUGCCCACAGUGGACUGGAGCCCAAAAUGCACACUGGAGGAAGUGGAUGGAGCCACGUGGAUGUCAUGCCUUAUGCAGGGGAGGAGCCUGCUCUCUUCAGCUCCUGUGGUAAUGUGGGAAUCGAUCUGUGAGGUGAGGACCUGUUAGCAGGAACCCCUCUUGCUUUGCUGAAAGUUUUAUUUUUCUUUUUGCCCUAUAAAACCCUGUUCUACUAACCCUUCAAUAUGUCUGCAUUCCUAAAUUUUCCUGGUCAUGUGACGAGAACCUAGGUUUUAGCUGAACUAAGGAGCAAAAUUCUGCAACAUAAAGUCAAAGAAAACUAUGCCUAUAUCCAUUAAAUCAAAUGUUAAAAAGCAAAUAUAAAGAAAAAGUCUUCACAGCCCUAGAGAAAAGUGAAACAUUGUACAUAAAGAAGUAAUAAUUUGAAUGGAUUGUCAGAAACCAUGACUAGAAGACAGAGGAGCAAUAUUUUCAAAUUUCAUAGAGAAAGGAAAAAAAGAAAAGAAGAAAAAAAAGAAGACAUAAUAAAACACCUGUCAUUUUAGUAUUCUGUACCCAUUGAACAUAACCUUCAAUAGAAUGUGAAGUAGACAUAUUCAGGUGAACCUAAUGUUGAUAAGUUUAAAAAGAUUAACAAUUUAUAGUGUAUUAUCCAGUUACAAUGAAACCUAAUUAAAAAUUAGUGAUUGUAAUCUAGGAAAGCGAAGCUCUUUUAAAUCAUCCAUUACUCAAAGAGGAAAUCUCUAAAAUGUAAAUUCUGUGAAAAGGGAGUUUAGUUUUAUACACUGUUUUGUUCCCAGCAUCUAGACGAGUGACUGGCAAUUAGUAAAUGGUUAACAACUAUUAUUAUAAGAAAUGCCCCAGGGGACAGAGAAAGAAAUGAUAAGGAAAUAUGCAACGAUUUUUCAUGAGAAAUAAAUGAUGAACAGGUUUUUCAUGAAAGAUGUGAGAAAAGAGCAUUUGUGUGCUAUGGAGCAAUUUAGAACACAUUUCUUGGGGGAAAAUGGCUAAUAUAAUAUUAAUAUUAGUAUUAUUGUGAUUAAAUGGAUUAGGAGGUUCUACAAAGAAAAGUAGGUUAAUUUAGAGAAUAAAUGUAAACUACAAAUACAAUAACUCAUUUUAUCAAACUAUUUUGGUGUUAUGGAUUUUUACACAGUGAACAAAACACACUUGAUUUUCUUUAGGAAAUGAUAUACUAUUAAGAAAUGAGUAUAUAGAGGCUUAGCUCUAUUUUUGAAAUGACUCUCUAAGGUCUUACAAAUUGAAAAAGCAAAACUCAAGACAAAAAAAAAAUUAAUUUGCAAAAGUCAGUAUUAUCUACAGGAAUUAACAAAGAAAAAGACUCAAAUCUCUGAAUAUUUAAUGUGUGGGUUUAUGAGUGAAACACUUUCUGAAAAUGUCAGAACUCUUGAAAACAUGGAUGAGGAAAAGCAUAAGUACUGCUUUAUGCUUUUCUUAUGAAUUUUAAAAGAUGUAAUUUAAAGGUACUUUAAAGUGAUAUUUGUGCCCUUGUAACUGAUUCAAAGUAGACUGCUAAGGACAAUAAGUAAUAAGAGUCUACAAAUAUCAGUAAAUUAUGAGAAAAAACGGUCUAAUGGUACUUAAAAUUGCAUUGUGAUUUAUUAAAUAACAUUGAACAGCUCCACCUGUAACAUUAAGAUUCCAUUUGAGCAUAUAGAAAAUAUAUUUAUCGCAACCUGAAGUGAUUUGGAAAGUAUGCUGGGAAGAAAAUAUAUUUACAAAUUAGUCUCAGAGGGUAGGUAUCCUGUAGCCAGAUGGAAUAAGAAGAGAGGGAAGGGAGAUUUUGUUCAAAGGGGGAGCAUAAGCUAAGGAAUAAAGCCACAAACAAUGAUUAAAUUAGGUAAAGUGCAAUUAGCUGAAUAUUGCAUAAGCAUACAUAUGGGAAGAAGUGGAAAAAGGAGUGACAAUAUGAAGCUAAAGGGUUUGAAGUGUUCAAGAUAAUACUAGGCUUCCUAGCCUAUUCCGAGACAUCUUGUUUUAGAGUGCAAUAGAUAAGAACUCUAAGGAUGAAAGUAGGAGACAUGCAUUCUAGUCUACGUUUUGGUUAAUGGACUGAAAGUGAAAGAUGGACUGAAAUUGGGGGAUGGAAUAAAAAUGUGAUAGAAUAGAAAAUAGAAAAAGCAAUUAGCCUAAUGUCAUUGAUACUUAGAGAAAAUAUGGAAAAUAGUAAAUUAGUGAUAUAUAUCUUUUCUAAUUCACCAGGGUGAGUGAACAAAGGAAAUCGGAUUUAAAAGUAUUCAUGACAUAGAUGCAAUAAGGUUUCUCAGUCAGACAUAGCAAAUUGAGGGAAGGGAAGAUUUAGAGGAUUGGAAAAUGUCUUGCUUGUAGACUAAUAGGAUAUCAAUAAGCCAUAUGAGCAAUAAUUUGAAAUAGUUUUUGUAAAGUAUCAUGAAGGUAAACCCUGUUUAGAACAAAUUAGAUUUGAAGUACUUGUGACAAAUGCAAUUGACAAUGCCUUUAUGCAGCUGGAAAAUUGUUGCUUAGCAGAAAAGCUUGUGCUGGACAAAUAGAUGUCCAAAUUGAAUAGAUGUUUUCUUAAGCUGAACUAAUUGAGACAAAUAUCCUUAUUAAAUCAAAAAAUUAAAAAUUGAAAUAACUUACCUAUGAUAGGGUAAAUAAUGUUAUUAAUAUACACAAGAAAUAUGUGAUGUAUAUGUGUAUGUACAUAUGUAUACAUAGUAAAGCAGUGCUUGUCACAAAUUCAAAAUCACCUUGCUUUGUCAACAUUUUCAGAUGUUUUUGGCUCAGUCUGAUGACAGCAUCAGUGCAGUAAAGGGAUCUUAUUGAAAUGUUUUAACUAAAGAUAAAAUGCCACCACUAGGAGAAAAAUAAAAUCAAGGAAAUAAACAGAAAAUCAAUAAAUGUGAAAUGUAUUAUAAAUUUAUAUAAUAACAAUGUUGUAUGCUAUAAACAUCUCACUUUGUAAAAUUAACAAGAAUUCAGUGAGGCAGAUCAUUUUCUAUGUGUUCAGAAGUCAAGUCUUUGAUGGCUAAUUUUUAUAUUACUUCAUUACAAUAUCUCUACUGAAGCAAAAUAAUUGCAAAUCUUUUUGAAUGAAAUCAAUUUAUCUUUAAUUUUAGAUAAUAUUUGGUAUAGUUGGCAUAGUUUUGUCACAAAGCAUAGCUAACAUCAAUGUAGCCUUACGACUUCAAAUGUCUUUAUAGAUCUUUUCUGAAAUUGCAAAAUUUUACUUUGAAAUUAUUGUUAAUAUUUACGUUGCACAACCACAAAUGUAGAAAUAAAAUUAUAAAGUCUCCAGAUAAUGUUUUAUUUUAACCACACAUAUGUUGUGAUAGUUUCAAAUAAAUGAAAGCUCUACUGAUUUAUCAUUUUCAACAUCUUUACAUUAUUUAAGUAAUAUUAAUUAUAUUUAUGUAAAAAUACCUGAAUAGUCAUAACGAAAAUUUAAUAAUAAUGUAUAAUAUAUUGUUAACAUCUUUUAUUUUCACAAAAACACCAAGGAAGAAGCAGUGAGUAUUUUUUAUUUAUUUUAAAAAUUAACUUUUCAAUAAAUUAUUUAGGAAUGACUGGAAAUGUGCUGAGACAAAGAAGCAGUUGUCACUGUACACAAACAUGAAAUCAAUUACCUUUUGGAGAGUUUAUGAUGUGUGAGAGCUAGUGAAGUUACAUUGCAGAAGAUCUGAUAGUGUCUGCCACAACACUUAAUAAUUUUUGGAGAAUUUUACCAUGGGCUUGACAUUUGAAUAUUCAAUUUAAACUACUUAUUUAUGAAAUAGUUAUAGGAAUAAUUAGGAACUUUAUGGCAACUCUAUGUUUUAAUUAACUUUCUAAGUGGUGAAAGAGUGAAUUAUUCAUAAAUUACUUCUGGAAACAGGACUCUUCUAAAAAGCAUGUAAGGGAACUUGAAGCAGCAUCUCAAUUUGUGCAAUAUGAUAAAGAAAAAAAACUGUGGGAUCCAGAAAACAAUACACAAUUACUUUUAUUUAUGGCUACCAGAACUUCAGGAAACCGACUAAUGUUUGUGCACAUAAUGUUUUUAUUAUGGAUCUAUCUGGGGCAUAUUGAACAUACAGUGCCCUCAAAAAUGGUCAGUUUUACUCAUGCCCAAUCCCAUAUAUUUUUUAGGGUAAUUUUUCUGGUCCAGUUAAGUUAGACCAGGACAUUUUCACUUGACAAAUCUGAGUAAACUUCUCUGGAAAAAAUUGUUUUUGACCAUUCGCCUAGAAUGAAUCUCUGGGUAAGGAAGAUGCAUAUAGUCGUAUAAUUUACUGUAGUUAUUUUGACACCUUUUCUUAACGACACACCACAGAUUUAUUGCUGGAUAUUUUUUUCCUUCCUAAGCCACUUGCCAUAUAGUUCUACUCUUCUCUAGCUCUAGGGAGGCUUCCUCAUACAGACUAGGUCAACAGAUUCCAUUCCACUGGCUCGUGGAUGGGUUUGGCUACCGAGAAGCAGUUAAGAGAAGAUCAGAAUUAUAGGGAGCAGGGAGUAGGAAAAGGUGAAGAAUUUAUUUUCCUGCUUCCCUGCUGAUCCCCUCCCAGGCUCCUACAUGUUGGUCACAUUUCUCUACCAAAUGGUAGUUCCUGUGGGGUUCUUGUAAAUUCACCUUCCUCUUUCCAUAGAGACAAAAGCUCCCUGCUUUCAUUCACCUUCGAGUAGCUGGGACUACAGGCGUCCGCCACCAUGCCCGACUAAUUUUUUGUAUUUUUAGUAGAGACGGGGUUUCAUCGUGUUAGCCAGAAUGGUCUCGAUCUCCUGACCUCGUGAUUCGCCAGCCUCGGCCUCCCAAAGUGCUGGGAUUACAGGCGUGAGCCACCACGCCCAGCCGGGUACUGCAAACAUUUAAACAUUUUAAACGUUCCUCGAAGACAAUUUUUCCUUCCAGGACAAUGACUGAUACACCUUCUUAAGCUUACAACUGCAAAUAAGUCUCUGCCUAACAUAGCAUCUCUGCUAUACAGCCGGGAAUGUACUCCUACUCAAUGGGAUGGCUACACAAUGAAAUCAAUGAGUGACUGCACUUAAAAAAUGCCCAUUACAAUAUGAGCUAUGUCUUCCAUGGAGUCUUGUUCUGUGGUCCAGGCUAGAGGGCAGUGGCAUGAUCUCGGCUCACUACAAGCUCUGCCUCCCGGGUUCACGCCAUUCUCCUGCCUCAGCCUCCUGAGUAGCUGGGACUACAGGCGCCCGCCACCACGCCUGGCUAAUUUUUUGUAUAUUUACUAGAGAUGGCUAGUGUUAGCCAAGAAUCUCCUGACCUC
rnacentral:lncRNA from 1 species